rnacentral:tRNA from 1 species
GCGGGUGUAGUUCAAUGGUAGAAUUCCAGCCUUCCAAGCUGGUCGUGUGGGUUCGAUUCCCAUCACCCGCUCCA